rnacentral:rRNA from 1 species
AUUGAACGCUGGCGGCAGGCCUAACACAUGCAAGUCGAGCGGAUGAAGGGAGCUUGCUCCUGGAUUCAGCGGCGGACGGGUGAGUAAUGCCUAGGAAUCUGCCUGGUAGUGGGGGAUAACGUCCGGAAACGGGCGCUAAUACCGCAUACGUCCUGAGGGAGAAAGUGGGGGAUCUUCGGACCUCACGCUAUCAGAUGAGCCUAGGUCGGAUUAGCUAGUUGGUGGGGUAAAGGCCUACCAAGGCGACGAUCCGUAACUGGUCUGAGAGGAUGAUCAGUCACACUGGACCUGAUACACGGUCCAGACUCCUACGGGAGGCAGCAGUGGGGAAUAUUGGACAAUGGGCGAAAGCCUGAUCCAGCCAUGCCGCGUGUGUGAAGAAGGUCUUCGGAUUGUAAAGCACUUUAAGUUGGGAGGAAGGGCAGUAAGUUAAUACCUUGCUGUUUUGACGUUACCAACAGAAUAAGCACCGGCUAACUUCGUG